rnacentral:rRNA from 1 species
AUUGAACGCUGGCGGCAUGCCUUACACAUGCAAGUCGAACGGUAACAGGUCUUCGGAUGCUGACGAGUGGCGAACGGGUGAGUAAUACAUCGGAACGUGCCCGAUCGUGGGGGAUAACGAAGCGAAAGCUUUGCUAAUACCGCAUAAGAUCUAAGGAUGAAAGCAGGGGACCGCAAGGCCUUGCGCGAACGGAGCGGCCGAUGGCAGAUUAGGUAGUUGGUGGGAUAAAAGCUUACCAAGCCGACGAUCUGUAGCUGGUCUGGGAGGACGACCAGCCACACUGGGACUGGGACACGGCCCAGACUCCUACGGGAGGCAGCAGUGGGGAAUUUUGGACAAUGGGCGAAAGCCUGAUCCAGCCAUGCCGCGUGCAGGAUGAAGGCCUUCGGGUUGUAAACUGCUUUUGUACGGAACGAAAAGACUCUUUCUAAUAAAGAGGGUCCAUGACGGUACCGUAAGAAUAAGCACCGGCUAACUACGUGCCAGCCGCCGCAGUAACAC